rnacentral:rRNA from 1 species
AUUGAACGCUGGCGGCAGGCCUAACACAUGCAAGUCGAAUGGUAACAGGAAACAGCUUGCUGUUUCGCUGACGAGUGGCGGACGGGUGAGUAAUGUCUGGGAAACUGCCUGAUGGAGGGGGAUAACUACUGGAAACGGUAGCUAAUACCGCAUAACGUCGCAAGACCAAAGAGGGGGACCUUCGGGCCUCUUGCCAUCAGAUGUGCCCAGAUGGGAUUAGCUAGUAGGUGGGGUAACGGCUCACCUAGGCGACGAUCCCUAGCUGGUCUGAGAGGAUGACCAGCCACACUGGAACUGAGACACGGUCCAGACUCCUACGGGAGGCAGCAGUGGGGAAUAUUGCACAAUGGGCGCAAGCCUGAUGUAGCCAUGCCGCGUGUAUGAAGAAGGCCUUCGGGUUGUAAAGUACUUUCAGCGGGGAGGAAGGGAGUAAAGUUAAUACCUUUGCUCAUUGACGUUACCCGCAGAAGAAGCACCGGCUAACUCCGUG